UGUGAUUUUUUUUAAUACUUGCCUAACAUGCAUGUUCUGUAAAAAUAGUUAACGGGGAAAUAACUUGAGAUGAUGGCUAGCUUUGUUUAAUGUCUUAUGAAAUUUUCAUGAACAAUCAAGCAUAAUUGUUAAGAACCCGUGUGUUAAGUUCAUGUAAGUGGAAUAAAAGUUUUAUGAAUGGAAAAAAAACCAAAAUAUAUAU
rnacentral:lncRNA from 1 species